UUUUACCCUUCUUAUUUCGGUCGAUGUAUAGUUUAGUUGGUUUAUGUGGUUCAGUAUUUAUUUACAUUUGAAAAUAUGGAUUUCUGGAUUUUGUGAAAUAAAAGGUUUUCUACCCCUCAUGGUAGCGUUUUUAAAGAAUAAAGGUUCAUGUGUAGGGAACAGUUUUCAAAAGAUUUUCUAUAGAUUUAUGUUUAGACAUUGAAUGCAAACCUGUGAUGUGAAUGGUGAAUGUAUGAAUGUAUGGUGAUUUCUAUAUUUAUUUAGUUGUGGUUGUAUCAUGUUUGUACUGUUGUACUUGUGCGACGCCGUGCAAAUAUAGGGGAGACUCUGUCCGUGUGAACAGUGGAAUCCCUGUAUUUGUGGCGGGUCUGGCAUACUCUGGGGUCAGGUUUUCAAAAAAAAAAAAAAAAAUUCAGACGUUUUUCCGCUAUCUUUUAAACUCAAAGGAACCCCGGGGCGUGAUAGAUUAAAGCGGUAUCAGAGGCAGGUUACAACCACAACACCAUUCACAGGUUGUUUUGAAAAGUAAAUGAACUGAACCAAAUGAACUGAACCAUUGGUUAGGUUGACCCAUAGGAAGACCUACGGUAUAUAGGCACGUGAGUGUGGGGUUUGGACUUGCGUCCUAGGUUGCAUUCGAGUUGGGUAAACUCGAAGUGCAUGGUGUUUCUGUAUGUGUUACGGUUCGCACAAGCUGGUGUCUAAGUCGGGAGUAGUGGCGGUGUACUUUUUCGGACAUCGAGUGGUGGGACGACAUUCCCCAGGUGUUGCCACUCCUGUCAGGUGAGGCCUUGAAGGGCCAAGUGAGAUUUUCGGGCAUAGGCAAGUAUCUUAACUGCCGACGCCCAAGCCACUCUCUCUACUUAAGACACGAGAGCUGUUGCAAGUGUCUCUACGGAGACGGCGCUGUGAUCAGUUACGAUCGUGACUUCUGUGGGGCUACUAGGGUGUAGCCCAGGGUUUGGUUAGCUGUCGUUUCGGCGACUGCAUUGUUAGUGUUGCUUCCGCGAAUCUUUGGGUGGGGUUGUGAUGCCUACCUAUCCUCCUUGAUUGCUGAUUGGAAUCAGCGGUUCGAAUCUUUCGACCUUUACCUCGUUCAUUCUUCCUACCAGAGACGUAUUGACACAGUUUUGGUGUCAGGUCCCUGUUGAUACAUACAUCGUAUGCGAUUGUUCUAACACCUAAAUUGGUGUCAGGGGAUAGUAGAUGGUUUAGUAGGAUCCGUCUUGAUUCGAGAGACUCCAGAUUAUUGUCGGAAUUCUUGGAGCUUUGAUUAUAGCUCGAUUGAGGUGCGAAAAUCUGUUAGAGAAACCAUUUCCUAUCGCCUCAGUUUGUGUAGUUGGCGGCUUAGUGUCGCUAGUAGCUUUCGGAUGUUGAAAGUUAUAGGACUCCCUGUGAGUCGCUUCAGGGUCGUUCUAAUUUCGAAUGUCGACUUGUAAAGUCGACGUUUCGAUAGUAAUGGUUGUGAACUCGUGGUUCUAUGAAGAGGUAUCAAGUGACUUGAUACUUCAAUGUGUCACACUUCCAACUCGUUGUUGGUAGUGAAUCUCCGGAUAUUUCGCUUUUCUUUUGAUAAGUAUAUUGGCUGCAGACAAUAUACUGUCAAGAGAGAGGGACGAAAUACUAUUUUCCCGUUUGGGACUUAUGGAUUGGGUCGAUGUGUUCUCUAGACUGUUUUGUGGGAAAAAGCUCGAGUGAUAGUCAUCUUUGACCACGUAGCGAGCCUUGGGUUAUUCCUUGGCAGGUUUUGCACAGUGGACUUAUCGUCACUGAUAAAGGGUUUUGACUCUAGUUCGAGUUUGGGUGUUCGUAGCUCUUUAGUUGUGCCUUCCACAACAAAAAGGUUUGUUUGGUUAGUAGUCUCGGUCUACUGUUGUCACGCCCCGGGACCGGCGGAGGCCCUCCCGGUAGCGUGCCCAGACCCGCCAUAUGUGAUAGCGGUAAAAGGUUUGCGACUUGGCUAAAUGUGGCAAACCUUGAAAAUGGAUGCUUGUCCAGUCAAAUUGGUGACAGGUGAGGGCUUGGGUCUCAAUGAGACAAGUAAUCGGGUGUUGCUGGGAACAUCGAAUCGCUAGGGUCCAUGUAGGACUGGCAGCGAUAGGGUCUUGCUGAGAUAGGUUUUGAACAUCACGGUAUGGUUGGUAUCGCAUGUGCGAUUGGCGACCUGUGCAUCAAGUGAUGGACUUGCAAGAGCUUUUGGUGUUGUUAGUUGGCCUUUUUGGUCACGUGGAAGUGAAGUCUUGGACCUAGGACUAUAGAUUGUCGUAAGUGACUAUCCAUUGAUGGAGUCUUUGGCAGACUAUGUGGUUACUGGUAGGAGACGUUGGUCUCCAAAACGAAGGAGUUUUGACUCAGGUCUUAGAACAACGUUUCAAUAUUCACUUUGUGAGCCAGGUUGACGUUGUUGGAUAUCGGAGCUUUUCGUUUUAGUCACGUAAAUAGACUCCUAGAUUAAAAUGAUUGUCUCGUGACUUUUCUACGUGAACUUGCGAUGUAUGUCGAGUCGGUUUCGGCUAUGCGGACCAAGGUUAGAAUGGACCUAAACUUCUGAAUGUGAUUAAUUAUCUCAGAAUUGGCAAAUUGAGAUCGGAUAAUCUUAGUCGCGGCACUGUCUUUGUCCGCAGGUUAUUAGGAUGAUGUUAAUCCCGGUGAGUUUGUCUGUAGAUUGGUUAGUACGCUUUUUUCCCUCAUUGUUGUCUGAGUGGAACCGUAGUCCUAUCUUCCCUUAUUCGGAGAUUGAUCUGUCCAAAUUCAUGAAAAUCUAAUUGACCAAUACUAAAGGUGAUACCACAGUGGUGGAAGUAUUAUCCGAAUUCGAUUUCGAUGGGUAUGUGUCAAGUUUCGGGGACAAACUUCUUUUAAGGGAGGGAUAAUGUAAGGACUGAGAUUUUUACAGUGCAACUAAACUCUCUGUUGACCAUUGUUUUAUGUUGUAAUUUAAUUACAUAAGCACUCGUCAAGUUUCAGGGAGAAAAUGAGCUAAAAUGGAGAAGUACGCGAUUUUUAAAUUUCACUUAAGUGAAUAGUAACUCCGUUUUUCGGAGAGGCCAAAUUGCGUGAAGUAGGCUUCUGGCGCGUAUCGGACUCUGUUCAUAGCGAUCAAUAGCUCGUUUCGAACGGUUCAGCUAUUCUGGAACUAAUGGCAACUGACGGAUUCACGAUCCGAUGUACGGUUUCGAGAAAAAGGAGUUUAAUAAAGAGGGUUUCCGCUCUUUCUAUUCAUGCAUUUUAAAACUCCUUGUGCUCUGUGCUUGGACCUGGGUUAGGUGAGAGUGUUUCUGGUACCUACUGGUGGUAGGAUCAAAUUUGAAUUUGAAUUAAAGGUUUUAGGUUAUACUUUGGUAUAUGUGUGUUAUCGGAUUAAUUAGAGAGCGAUGGGUUCCAUGCGAAUCUGUGACCAAAUCUGACGAAACACGAUUGUAGUUUUAUUACCCUCGUCAUGCUGAAUGUGAUGGCACUGGUCGGAUCGAAAAUCCGACGGACGGAUCUUCGGAAUAAGCGAGUUGUUCGCUGAGGGUCAAAGUGGCAAACGGAUAAUCCGAAGAGACCCUAUUUUAUGUACCCGAAUUGCGCGAGAUCGAUUGUGGAGGUGCGAUUGCGCGAGAGUUACCUCAUUGUGAAGGACUGGUUUCAAAUUAUAGUUUCGGAGGACUUUCUCGCAAUUUUGCAUGAUGACUUUAGGGUUUCAUAGAGAAAACCCUAACCGUAGAAGCCUUCUCCCUCAGGCCGACCCUCUGCAUCACUUGAACCUCUCCCCGACCCCGCCACGCGCCGUCCCGGCCGGCGGCGAGCAUGAUUGUCGAGUUCAUAUCCUAUACUUGUGACAUGAUUGUCGAGUUAUAUACUUGUGACAUGAUUGGUCGAGUCAUAUCCUAUACUUGUGACAUGAUUGGUCGAGUUCAUAUCCUAUACUUGUGACAUGAUUGGUCGAGUUCAUAUCCUAUACUUGUGACAUGAUUGGUCGAGUUCAUAUCCUAUACUUGUGACAUGAUGGUCGAGUUUCAUACGCUAUACUUGUGACCUGGUUGGUCGUUUUGGUUACAUGAUGACCCAUGCGGUCGAUGGUUCCAUGUUGAUAUCAUGCUUAGGAGUAGAGUCGACUUAUCUGUUCACUAUAUCUGUGAUUUGGUUGGGCAGUUUCCCUAUUUUGGUAUCUAUGACCUAUUGGUCGAGUUGUUACAGUUCUAUUCUUGACAUACGUAGCCGACUAGUUGUUGAUGGCCUAUACGGUCGGUGUGCCCUGAGGCUGGAUUGUCGGCUAGUUGCCGAUGAAAUCUUUGAGCAUACUAUAUUGAUCGCCACUGCAGGUACCAUUUCACGAACACCAGCGGUCUGAUCCACCGCAAGAGGGUGUUCUUUCCGGAAAAGUGGUUGGAUUGCCAACCCGUGAGCCCAUGGGCUUUAUUGCGAGGGUAUAUGCUUCUGACCCAGGGCUUCAUUGCGAGGGUCAGGUACUAUGCUUCUGCACCACAGGGCUUCAUUGCGAGGGUCAGGUACAGGUGAGCAGUGUGGCAUGGGCCUGAGGUCUUCGGACCAAUAGGCAGCGAGAUUGGGUACUUUUAGGUUAUCGGCAGUUGACACAUGCAUACAGUAGCUGUAGUGUUUAUUUCCAGUAUCAUCUUUAUCUGUUUAUUGUAGCUACUGUUUUAUAUACCUGCAUCUAUACUUGUCAGCCCCUACUUAUCAGCAUCUUUACUACCAGUACUUAUAUCUAUCUAGUUCUCCGUGACUAGUGAGUACUCUCUCGCUUCUUCGGCUUGCGGUACCCACUGGAGGGAGACAUGUUUACAUGUUCUCACCUCCCCCACCAUUUUUCAGGUAUCGCAGGCGAUGUGUAUUGGACGAGACGUGAGGUACGUUCGUAGUGGUCGAUAGAGCUUCCGACCCAGUUGUUCGUUUAGUUUCUUACCCUUCUUAUUUCGGUCGAUGUAUAGUUUAGUUGGUUUAUGUGGUUCAGUAUUUAUUUACAUUUGAAAAUGGGAUUUCUGAUUUUGUAAAAUAAAAGGUUUCUACCCCUCGUGGUAGCUUUUAAAGAAUAAAGGUUCCUGUGUAGGGAACAGUUUUCAAAAGAUUUCUAUAGAUUUAUGUUUUAGACAUUGAAUGCAAACCUGUGAUGUGAAUGGUGAAUGUAUGAAUGUAUGGUGAUUUCUAUAUUCAUUUAGUUGUGGUUGUAU
rnacentral:lncRNA from 1 species